rnacentral:rRNA from 1 species
AACGAACGCUGGCGGCAUGCCUAACACAUGCAAGUCGAACGAGACCUUCGGGUCUAGUGGCGCACGGGUGCGUAACGCGUGGGAACCUGCCUUUAGGUUCGGAAUAACUCAGAGAAAUUUGAGCUAAUACCGGAUAAUGUCUUCGGACCAAAGAUUUAUCGCCUUUAGAUGGGCCCGCGUAAGAUUAGCUAGUUGGUGGGGUAAAGGCCUACCAAGGCGACGAUCUUUAGCUGGUCUGAGAGGAUGAUCAGCCACACUGGGACUGAGACACGGCCCAGACUCCUACGGGAGGCAGCAGUGGGGAAUAUUGGACAAUGGGCGAAAGCCUGAUCCAGCAAUGCCGCGUGAGUGAUGAAGGCCUUAGGGUUGUAAAGGCUCUUUUACCCGAGAUUGAUAAUGACAGUAUCGGGAGAAUAAGCU